rnacentral:snoRNA from 1 species
AAUCUAUGAUGAAUAUACACUGACAAGCAUAUGUCUGAGUACUGCUAUGUUAGACACACCUACUUCUGAGAUG